GACGAACGCUGGCGGCGUGCUUAACACAUGCAAGUCGAACGGAAAGGCCCUGCUUUUGUGGGGUGCUCGAGUGGCGAACGGGUGAGUAACACGUGAGUAACCUGCCCUUGACUUUGGGAUAACUUCAGGAAACUGGGGCUAAUACCGGAUAGGAGCUCCUGCUGCAUGGUGGGGGUUGGAAAGUUUCGGCGGUUGGGGAUGGACUCGCGGCUUAUCAGCUUGUUGGUGGGGUAGUGGCUUACCAAGGCUUUGACGGGUAGCCGGCCUGAGAGGGUGCCCGGCACCAUUGGGACUGGGAUACGGCCAAGCCUCCUACGGGAGGCAGGAGUGGGGAAUAUUGAACAAUGGUCGGAAGCCUGAUGCAGAAACGCCGCGUGCGGGAUGACGGCCUUCGGUUGGUAAACCGCUUUCGCCUGUGACGAAGCGUGAGUGACGGUAAUGGGUAAAGAAGCACCGGCUAACUACGUG
rnacentral:rRNA from 1 species